AAAGAUCGGUUAAUCAGCAUUUAGUAAAGAUGUCAAAUUGUACCCCCCCACUCCUUCCCAAACACCACUAAAAUGCAAAUAUUGAUUCUGUUUGUAAGUCAUAAACCCAAGAGACAAAGGGAAAAGGAGAGGAUGUAAUAAAAAAAAACAAACAAGAAACGGAAGUUGGCAAACAGUGGGGGGUCCCAGCAAGUUAAAUCCUAUACCAGUGGGGAGGGAAGGGGAGUCAAACAGCAAUCACAUUUAUUCCACAGAGUUUGCCCCCCUCCCCAGUUCCAGGCACCUGGAUACUGUGGAGGAAAAGGUAAAUAUUAAAUUUGAACUCAAUUGAAAGUGGACACAAACAAUGGUCACCAAGUCCCGGAACAGGUUGUGUGAGCACCUUGAGGCGUUCAUCUAGCGCUGUUUCAGAGAAAUCUCUAUUUUGAUGUAUUCCUAUACGUCAGUUAUUGAAAAACGAUAGACAAUUGCAAAAACGAGUUGACCUUUUUGUGUUCCUUGAGCCAAGUCGCAAGGGGCCCUCGUGACUGGGCCUCAUGCCAAACAACUCGUUACAAAAAGAGCUCGGGUCCCAGACUGUGCCGAAGCUUCCUGAGACCUCUCCUCGGCCGUGCACGGACGAGUGGCCGACUCUGGAACCCAGGCUGCUCCUUCCCGGUCUGGGGGUGAAUCCUCCAUAGGCUGACAGCAAAGAGAAAGUCUCCGGCCUGGCUGGAAAUGAGCGUCCAUACUGAGCACAUGCAAGGGUGCACUGAACACUGGGAUGCACAGUCUCUUCCUCAGCCGUGCUCCAGGGUGAUGACGGCAGAUCAAGACCCUCCUCACAGGAGACCGGAUGCUCCUUCUCUGAAGAAUUUGACCAAGGCAAGAAGAAAUGCCUAAAGCAGCCGGCAUGAAGGCUUCAGGAAUGAAACAACCCAGCAGAUCACCCUACAGGGAUCAGCCCCGGCAACCAGCCGCAGGCUCCACUGCUUAGUUCCCACUUUCUGACAUGGACAAGCAAAAAAGACCACCACACACGAGGACACCCUUCAACGUAAAUGACACCAAACAAAAAAUAAAACAAGCAAACACACGUUGGCAGUCCAAGGCAGGAGGACAGCUUUGAGCUCAGUAGUGUGAGAUCAACCUGGGCAACAUAGCAAGACCUCAUUGCUACUAAAAAUAAUAACAAUAGAAUAAUCAGCUGGGCAUAGUGGCAUGCACCUGUAGUCCCAGCUACUUGGGAGGCUGAGGAGGGAGGAUCGCUUGAGCUCAGGAGGUCAAGAUGGCAGUGAGCU
rnacentral:lncRNA from 10 species